rnacentral:rRNA from 1 species
GGGAAUUUUCCGCAAUGGGCGAAAGCCUGACGGAGCAACGCCGCGUGGGUGAAGAAGGAUUUCGGUCUGUAAAGCCCUUUCAGUCGGGACGAGACGAAGACGGUACCGACAGAAGAAGCAUCGGCUAACUACGUGCCAGCAGCCGCGGUAAUACGUAGGAUGCAAGCGUUAUCCGGAAUUAUUGGGCGUAAAGCGUACGUAGGCGGUUUACCAAGUCUGGAGUUAAAGACCGAGGCUCAACCUCGGGAGUGCUCUGGAAACUGGUAGGCUGGAGGACGGCAGAGGAAAGUGGAAUUCCCAGUGUAGCGGUGAAAUGCGUAGAUAUUGGGAGGAACACCAGUGGCGAAAGCGACUUUCUGGGCCGUUCCUGACGCUGAGGUACGAAAGCCAGGGGAGCAAA